rnacentral:rRNA from 1 species
UGCCUGCCNAGUGACAACUGUUUAACGGCCGCGGUANCCUGACCGUGCAAAGGUAGCAUAAUCAUUUUGUUCUCUAAAUAAGGACUUGUAUGAAUGGCCGCACGAGGGUUUUACUGUCUCUUACUNCCAAUCAGUGAAAUCGACCUNCCCGUGAAGAGGCGGGAANGCACAAAUAAGACNAGAAGACNCUAUGGAGCUUUAACUAACCAACCCAAAGAGAAUAGAUUUAACCAUUAAGGAAUAACAACAAUCUCCAUGAGUUGGUAGUUUCGGUUGGGGUGACCUCGGAGAAUAAAAAAUCCUCCGAGCGAUUUUAAAGACUAGACCCACAAGUCAAAUCACUCUAUCGCUCAUUGAUCCAAAAACUUGAUCAACGGAACAAGUUACCCUAGGGAUAACAGCGCAAUCCUAUUCAAGAGUCCAUAUCGACAAUAGGGUUUACGACCUCGAUGUUGGAUCAGGACAUCCUGAUGGUGCAACCGCUAUCAAA